UACGUAGGGGCCUAGCGUUGUCCGGAUUUAUUGGGCGUAAAGAGCUCGUAGGCGGUUUGGUAAGUCGGGUGUGAAAUCUCCACGCUCAACGUGGAGGGGCCACCCGAUACUGCCAUGACUGGAGUCCGGUAGGGGAGUGUGGAAUUCCCGGUGUAGCGGUGAAAUGCGCAGAUAUCAGGAGGAACACCGGUGGCGAAGGCGGGUCUCUGGGCCGAUACUGACGCUGAGGAGCGAAAGCGUGGGGAGCGAACAGG
rnacentral:rRNA from 1 species